GCUGCAGAAAGUAGAUCAGAAAAACUGUGAGAAAGCCACUGAGAUGCUGCCCAGCUGAAGCAGAAGGUAGCGGUCUCUUCGCAUCCCUUUACAUUUUGGGUCUCGCCUGGAAAGGAAAAGGACCAAAGGCAAUCCACGCAAUGAAGACUUGGAAUCCUAGGCGCCUACUGAACAUGACGACGCGCCGGGAGUGGUGUGCACUGUCGCAAAGCUCCUGCACCCGAUGAGCCAGAAGGAGAAAAAGGAGGAGGAGGAGGAAGAGGAAGAAGAGGAAGAGGAAGAAGAGGAGGAGGAGGAGGAGGACAACAACAAGAAUACAGUGAAUCCCACUGAGAUUUGUUCCUUCCUUCCUAACUACUGAGGACCAGAUGUCUGCAGUGUCUGAUAGUGUCUUAUCGUCUAGCCCUUGUUCAACAAACCAUCUCUUUCCUUUGUCACCGGAGUCUUUUACCCCCAUGUUCACACUAAAAUAUAGUCAGUGUCUCCAUAUAAGGAAAAAGCGAAACAGAGACCAAGAACCCACUAUUAUACACAGGCCUUUGCAACAUGGCCCCAGUGUAUCUUUCAAAACCCACCUUCUAGCUGGUACUCCUGUCUGCAGACCCGGUUCUUCAGCAUCAACAACUGGUUUCCUCAUUUGUAUAGCAAUGGCUCACACCAUGUCAACAUUCCAUACAAAUGUCCUUUCAUGAAAACUACAUUAUCCUUUCAAUAUAUGAAUAUGAAAUCAAGGCAGUUGACUUCUACACUCACAGCUCUGCUGAUGUUAUGCUAUAAAGACUACAGACUGUCUGCUCUAAGUGACAAGGAACAGGACACAGCAUGUAACCCUGCAUGCACUUCUGCUGCCGCACGUCGAAGACUCCAACCGAUCUCUGGGAGGUUAUCUCCGUGCCUAGCUUUCUUAUCGGUAAAACAGUAUGUGGUCUACAUAGUGGGAAUCUCUGAGGAACCAAAAGAAUCCAGAUACCUCCAAUGCCAUAACAAGGCAUUCUACCAACAGAACGGAGACAACCGGAAUCAGACACUCGGCACUCAUGAUGGGAAGACAAACUCCAACUGUGUGACACUGUGGUAGGAACUGGAUAAAAAUAGGUCACAGAGGAAGGCCAUGAUUCAAUGCAAAAGGAGCUCAGCGAAAGGAGUAAAAGAGAAAUAAUAAAAGGAGAUCGGGAAGCAUGACAGCAGUCCAUGGAGGAGCCCCCCUCAACAGGUGAUGCCAACAGCGUCCCUCACCACACCCUACCUGCACACCAACAGCGUCCCUCACUACACCCUACCUGCACACCGGAGUUUCAGAGCUUGGCAGGCUAGAUUAUGACGUCAUCCUGACACUGGGAACACCAGCAGGGCAGUAGUUGUAGACAGACUGAUUCUGAGAGAUGUGUCUGACACCAAGACAAACAAGAUGGGAAGAAGUAGAGCAGUUAGCGUUCGGAGAAAUGGACGAGCACCGUGGCCUGCAGGAAAACAGGAACUGCGGUGGUCACUAAGGCUAACCAGAUGCACUAUUAGAAUACGGGUGAACUGAGUGUGGGGAGGGGAGCCAUGAAAGCAGGGACCUGUGACUGCUGAGACUCUAACCAGAUACAUUAAUUAACAGACUAUGGUGAUGAUUAAACAACCUGCUGGUAAUGAAGACAGAUGCGUAGGCUGACGGGCUGAGACUCCACAUCAAACACCAGACUAUAGGCUGCACAACAGAAUUAGUGCACAAGUCAUUAAAGUCGCUAAGACACACAUAUCUAAUACACAGUGAAGGGCAAGGAAGCAGGCAAGUGAAGAAUACUCAGCAGGGAACACACACUCACUUUCCUUGCAGACCAACUGAGACCCAACUCAAAUAUGGAACCCGAGCUUCACAUAUCAUGAACUUUGAUGUGGUCAAACCCAACAUUUUAUAGACGAAUAUUACAUGGCUACUCAAAACCGUGCUCAUCUUCUCCAGGCUUUUCUCAAGGCACCAUCUCUCCAGUCCCACUGCAUCCAGACUGCACCUCCUCAAAACGACAGCCGUGUUCCCAAGACAACUGAAUCAGGGUCUUUCUGAAGUAAAAAGCCUCGAGUCGAGUACCUCUAGGAACUGAACAUGUGUUGCCCAUAUCUGAUUCUGUAAGUUCAUUGAGGCAGAUGAUGAAUUACUAUCUGAGACACUUCUGAGAAGGAAAUAAUGCUCAAGUCAGACCUUCUGCCAGGCAGGGUAGUGCAUGCCUUUAAUCCAGCACUGGGGAGGCAGAGGUAGUUACUCAGUCUGAGGCCAGCCUGUCUGCAAAGCAAGCUCAAGGACAUCCAGCAGGGCUAAUACCUGGGCAGGCUUCUGUUCAUGCCGAUUUUUAGGAGGUUAGAAAAAGGCAUACAUUCUAGUGAGACGCUUUUAGACCGCAGAUAAAAAAACUAUCUGAGCAAUUUAUGGGUUAGAUUUGAAAGGCCUUUAUUCUCUCUCUCUCUGUGUGUGUGUGUGUGUGUGUGUGUGUGUGUGUGUGUGUGUGUGUGUGUGUUUCAUAUGUACUAUAGUAAAAUAUUAAAAUAUAGAAUGUGCCCUUUCAAACUGGUCUGUAUUAGUCCCAGUUGCUUUUUUAAGAAAGACUAUCCUACACAAUACACAGUCCAGUGAAUGAAAUCCCAUAGGCAUUCAAGUGUUUAAUGAAACUGUAUAAUUCUGUAUAUGGAAUGAAGCACAAACUCUGACCUAGUGGUGCUCACAUCAGGAGAUGUGGACGGACAGAAUAACAGACAUAAGAAAAUGCUUAUGUGGGUACAUUGCAAGCAUGCAGACCCAAGUGUGGAUCCUAAGCACUACGUGUGAGCACAUGUGUUUUUAACUCAGUACUGUGGUUGUAGAUGGGGCACCCUGGGGAAGCACUGACAUCCAGUAACGAGCAGCCUAGGUUCAACGAGAGAUCCCUCUUAAAAGGCAAGGAGGAAAAGCAACUGAGGACGGCAACCUAAACACCAGCCUUUGGCCUCCACAGUGCCUACACAGGAAGUACACCUGCAUGCACACAGAUCACAAACAUGCACAUGAAUAUCUCAUACAUACACACACACACAGACACAUGCACAUGGAUGUCACACAUACUCGCAGAUACACGCCCCUCACAGACACAUGCACAUUUCAGACACAGCUGACACAGACACACAGGCACACAAGACAUACACACCUCACAGACACACACAGACAUGCACACCUCACACCUAAGAUACACAAACAUACACAACCCUGAUACAGACACAAACUUCACACACAUGCAUACACCCUUCUCCUCACAUACAUACACAAGCUUCACAGACACACACACACAUUUCAUACACAAACAUAUACCAGAAGACAGAAGGAAAACACUGCACUCCUGCUCCCCCCCCCCCCCCGCUCUGAAAAUGUUCUCACCAGGAGAUGCUGAUGCUGACCGGCACCUUUCUCUAAGGAAAGAAAAAGUAAUUGAGAAGCACCACAUCUGUGACCUAGUAUAAAACCAACUCUACACACAGCGAAGCGGGCCUCGGAGAAGCUAACCCACAGACUAACACCUUUUGCCAGUAUAAGCAAGCACCCACCAUGUCAGUUUGUGGUUUCUGGUUCAUCACAGGUAUAUGCAAUUCCACCCAAGAAAGAAAGGUUUGUUCCCUUAGGGUUUUAAA